rnacentral:rRNA from 1 species
GUCCUACGGGGGGCAGCAGUGAGGAAUAUUGGUCAAUGGGCGCGAGCCUGAACCAGCCAAGUAGCGUGAAGGAUGACUGCCCUACGGGUUGUAAACUUCUUUUAUAAAGGAAUAAAGUGAGGCACGUGUGCCUUUUUGUAUGUACUUUAUGAAUAAGGAUCGGCUAACUCCGUGCCAGCAGCCGCGGUAAUACGGAGGAUGCGAGCGUUAUCCGGAUUUAUUGGGUUUAAAGGGUGCGUAGGCGGGCAUUUAAGCCGGCGGUC